CAGGUAGAUGUGACUCUUACACUCUCCACAGACUUCUCAAGCUCUGACUCCUGGACAGAGGUCUUUCUUUGGGAAACUGCUGGGCUGGGUCUUCUUUCUGGGUUUUGAAGCACCCUUUCCGCACCCCUGCUCACCACACCUCCAGGACCUGAAUGAGCGUCUUCAGUCUGCAUGGUGGCAGAGCCCAGAGGGCACUGGCUUCAUUUACUUCUUCAUUUGCUCAGUCAACAAUGAGCUUGGUGCUGAGGACAGCCAGAGGGCAAGGCCAGAGUGAACCUGCUUUCUGGAAGCUCACCUUCUACUGGGACGUGGACAGGCAAGCAAGCAUAAAGCUCUGCAGUAGCUGGACCCCAACAGUGAUGGGACAAGGAAGAGACUUACAGGGGCAAGGGCGUUUGAAGGACAUGUAAUCCUUGGAGCAGAACAGCGGAGCCAGCCUGCCCACGAGCACAGCUCUGACUUCUUGGAGGGGGGCUGGAGAGAUGGCUCAACGGUUAAGAGAACUGACUGCUCUUCCAGAGGUCCUGAGUUUAAUUCUCAGCAACCACAUAGUGGCUCAAAAACAUCUCUAAUGGGAUCCGAUACCCUCUUCUGGUGUGUCUGAAGACAGACAGCUACAAUGCACUCAUAUAAAU
rnacentral:lncRNA from 1 species